rnacentral:rRNA from 1 species
GUGGAUUAGAUACCCUGGUAGUCCACACCGUAAACGAUGGAUACUAGGUGUAGGGAGGAUUAAACCUUUCUGUGCCGGCGCAAACGCAAUAAGUAUCCCACCUGAGUAGUACGACCGCAAGGUUAAAACUCAAAGGAAUUGACGGGGGCCCGCACAAGCAGUGGAGUAUGUGGUUUAAUUCGACGCAACGCGAAGAACCUUACCAGGGCUUGACAUACACUGGAAUACUUAAGAAAUUAGGUAGUCCUUCGGGACCAGUGAACAGGUGGUGCACGGUCGUCGACAGCU